ACUUAAAUAGCUUAUUAAUAAAGUUUAAUAUUGAAAAUGUUAAGAAAAUUUUUAAAAUUUUUAAGUA
rnacentral:tRNA from 1 species